UACACACACACACACACACACACACACACAGAGUAUAUAUACUGUGUGUGUGUGUGUGUGUGUGUGUGUGUGUAUC